rnacentral:lncRNA from 1 species
GAGACAGACGCUCCCAGGUGUUCUGUAUUCAGGUCACCUCUGGGUGCAGGGUGGCUGCUGCUCCCCUGGGCUCUGUGUCCCAGGUCCUGCGAUGCCUGACAAAGGCUGCAGCCAGAUCACUGGGGCACAUGCGAGGAGGAAACAGAAUGGACAGGCCGCAACAUGCCAAGCCACUAAAAGGAUUGACGCUUUAUUCUUCAGAGGAGAAAUACCAUUGUGGGGUCUACGGACCUCUAUCUAAGGCUUGUUAAAACAAAACAGAGAUGCUUAUGCUCUGGAAAGACGCCCGGGAUCCACUGGGCAGAAUGGCAAAGGAAAGAUCCCCAGCACGGAGCUCAGACAGAUGUCCUCGGCGGAGCUGAGUGCGGGGGUACAGGGUGUGGGGGUGCAUCAGUUGUGCUCUGACAGGUGCACAGGGUCCCCUUUCCCUUUGGCACCUCGGCUGCCUGUGCUUCUGGACCAACUGCCUGUUGAGAAAGCCUCUCUGUGUCCAGAAGUGAACUAUGAAAGGCCCUGAGUGGAUGGACUAUAUGCAAGGCACAGGAAGGAGGCCAAGCCCUCAGGAGUGGCAUCCAUGUGCAUUUGGGGCAGAGUGACGACUGGAAAAGACUGACCACGGCCCAGGCUCCCUGCCUUUCAGCUGCCAGUCUGCUGGGAAGUCACUUCCAUGAGGGUGGGGAGAGGUGAUGGCUAUUGACACCCAAGUUACACCUACCAAUGACCCAGUGGCUUCGGGCCUCACAGGCAGUGAGUGGACAUCUAGGCACCUGGAAUGCACCUCUAGGGCUCUGUGCCCGGGCUCUGAACAAGGAGAGAAGCCGCCGGCCCUCCUCCUGACCACUUCACCUCCGGCAGGAGACUAAUGAUGCACCUAAGUUAAUUCACUCGACUCUGGGACUAUGAGGCAGUUCAUCCACACGCUCCAAACUCCAGCUUAUUGUAGGAGACCAGUGCCUCGAUCUCAUGAGGUCAUCUCGACGCCUCAGCUGUAACCCUUGGAGAACCUGUGGUCUCUGCUCCUCUGCCUGCUGACAUGAUCAUCCCAGGUGCAAAACAGGCAUCGGAAACAAGAGGUGAAUUCUCCCCAUAUGACAGGAAAUUGGUGCAAAUGACCAGAGCCCCCCACCUCUGAGAUACGGAGUCAGAGUCGGAGCUACAAUGACGGAUGACAUCAGCAUCAAUGUCAGCAUCCCCUCCAGCAUCACCACCGUCUACCAGCAACAGCGCUUCUUUGUUGGACCAAACUGCCCCCGGCAUGGCCCCCCAGUCCCCCGAGUGGCUUCUGCCUCCUGGCCUGGCCCCGGCUCUGCCUCUUCCUGGAACUUGUGGCAAUUAGUGGCUGAGCAGAGACCUUGUGAGAGCAAUCGAUAGACAGAGGAAGCCAGAUGGAAAGGAGGGAAUGUUGCAGGUUUGUUUCCUGUUCCUUCUCCACGUGCUGUGUGCCAAGCACAGAAAGCCUCAGUGACCAGCUACUGAAUUAACCAGAAUAUGAAUGAGAAGAAUGACAUUGGAGAAACAGCAGUGUGGCAGUUGGGGCACGGGAAGCAGUCCUGACCCCACUCUUAACUAGCCAUGCGCAAGUCCUGGGCCCUGGCUUCCUCAACACUGAGGCAGCAAAAGCAGAUUCAACAGUCACCACAACCCCUGUCGUGGCAGCAUUCUCUUUUCCUCACAUGGACAGAUGCUCACGUCGGUGACGAAGGCACUGAGGUGCCAAAGAGCUUCCCAGAACAUCAAGGGAAGACUGACUGACAGCUGGUAGAAUAAGUGACAAAUAUCCCUUUUCUUGGAAGACAAUUUAUGCGUGCUGAAGUGGGAGAAAUGUAUUACUAUGAACGCUGUCUUACUCAACUCUGUUGCAUAGCUCAGAAUUCAGUACAGGUAGAUUUAAAAUAGUCUUACAUACAGAGCAGUUUAAAAAGUAUUGUGGAUUUCUGAGUGUCCAGGUUGGAUCCUUGACACUUAAGCACAUCCACUUCUGUUAUGGCUCCCUCUGGCUACAUAAGCUUUGGUGAUUUCUUAAUGACCAAGUGAGUAGCUUGUAAGCAAGGCUGAGAAACAGGAAGAAGUCCUCUUUGGCCAUCUGGUAUAUUGAUUCAAGUGAACACCACUCACUGGUCACCUGCGGACCAGAUGUGGCCUGCAGGUGUUUCAUUUCGCCAAAAGAAAUAUUUUUCAAAUUGUAAUGGGUUGUCAACAUUUAAAAAUCAUAUUUUUAUAUGGAAAUAUGGAUUUAGUACUUCUGCUGAAAUACUGGAAGAACUGGCAAUCUAACAAUUUCUGAAUGGCAAUGACUGACCAGAGCUGAGUCACAACGGUUCCUGUCAGAGACCGGGGGUUCUCUCCAGUGGCCUCCGUUAUAUGACACAAAGAGGGGUUCACUCAUUUCCAUUCCUUUCUGGCUGCAGUGGGCACCUGCGUUUGCCACCUUUCUCUUAAACAACAAGGAAUUGCUGAAGCAGAAAUGCACAGCCAGGGAAGCAGCUGAUUUUCUCUCAUCUUUUUCCUCCUCAUUAGCAUCAAUAAUUAAGUUUGGGACUGAUUCUUUUUAUGUCUUCAUAGCUAAAGUAAAAACUUUUGUUAGGAGCUAGUAGAUACUUCCCACCUCUUCUAAUUCAUUUUACUAAGCAUUAAGAUAACAUUCCUGGAUGGGCACGGUGGCUCCCACCUGUAAUCCCAGCACUCUGGGAGGCUGAGGCAGGU